GCCCUCGGAGAUGACUUCCUCUGGCUGGGCGCGCAUGUACCACUCCACCCAGGAGCCGUCGUAGAUGGCCACGUCGGGCUUGCCACAGAGAUGAGGAGACUGAGGCACACAGACUAAUCUGCCCAAGUCAGAGACGUGCCACAGCUGCCAACCACCAGGCCGCGAGGGCAGGGAAGCUGAGGCGCUGAGGGGGCCCAGGGAACUGCGGCUUGACCUUCAGGAUAAGAAGGCUGACGGAGCGGCUUUGGCUAAGGGGUGAUCUCAGUGUCCG